rnacentral:rRNA from 1 species
GAUGAACGCUGGCGGCGUGCUUAACACAUGCAAGUCGAACGGAAAGGCCCUGAUUUUGCUGGGUGCACGUGAGGCGAACGGGUGUGAGAAACACGUGUAUCACGUCCUUGUAUUACGGAUAACACUAGGAAAAAGGGGCUCAUACCCGAUAGGAGAUAUUGAAGCACGGUGGGGGUUGGUAAGAUUCGGCGGUUGGGGAUGGAAUCGCGGCUUCUCAGCUUGUUGGUGGGGUUGUGGAUUACAAAGGCUUUGACGGGUAGCCGGCCUGGGAGGGUGACCGGCCACAUUGGGACUGAGGUACGGCCCAGACUCCUACGGGCGGCAGCAGUGGGGAAUUUUGCACAAUGGGCGGAAGCCUGAUGCAGCAGCGCCGCGUGCGUGAUGACGGCCUUCGGGUUGUAAACCGCUUUCGCCUGUGACGAAGCGUUAGUGACGGUAAUGGGUAAAGAAGCACCGGCUAACUACGUG